rnacentral:lncRNA from 1 species
UUUGAAUCCAGGGUGUCAUUCUUUGGGUGAAUCAUGGACCCUUACACUAGCUAACGGGGUAGAGGAAUCAACUGCCCCCAUUUCCGUCUGCAAACCUUCUUGCAAACUCAAAUUUUGUGAAACAGAGCAUCUCCAGCACAUUGCCGUAACCUGGGGGUAAAAAUGGAUCCAGACACCUCACCCUGGCGUAGAGAUUUGACGUCCAUAGGGUUGGAUCGGCCUAAGGACAUCUCAAAGAUCCCAUCGGAUUCUGAUGUGCAGGGAUGCUUGAGAACUGUUGUUAAAGCCUGGGGUCCCCUCCACCCUUCUCUAUCCCACUCCAGCCUUUCCAGAGCUCAGCUGCCUCCAGUUACAAUGACUGCUGAUUGUGACGCUGCAGCCUCUGGUGUUCCUGAUGUAUUCACUGCUCUGACUUUGAGUGCCGCUGCUGAGUGCCUGGACAGAAAGUGACCCCUAGAACUGCAUGCAAUGGUUCCCAGAAAAUGGAGUUUCUUUUGAAGUGCAGACCCUACAAUGUCUCACCCCCCCCCCCAAGGAGACUUCUCAAAAGACUACUUACUAACUCUCAAGAUGAACCAGUUUUUUCUUUGUCCAUCCACCCAUGCUGAGUCUUUGCUGUUAUGUAGCAGCUUCUUCUAGCUUGAAACAUUCCUCCUAGAGGGAGGAAGAGAGACUGAGGAAGUUUACAAGACUCC